CUUGGGCUGGCAUGGUGGCUCACAUCUAUAAUCCCAGCACUUUGGGAGGCCAAGGUGGGAGGAUCACUUGAGGCCAGGCGUUAAGAAACCAGCUUGGACAACAUAGUAAGACCUCAUCUCUACAAAAAAUACAAAAAUUAGGCCUCACAAGAUCAAGAUCCUCUCUUGCUUCUCUAGAGAAUGUGCUCCAUCAAAAAGAGAGAAUAAACCAAGAAGAGGAAGACAGAGGAUCCGGAAACAGGGAUGAUGGUGCACGGAAGUCCCAGGAUGACAGCUGUGCAUCAGGCCUUCAGCAGCCAGGAUGGGAGCAGAAGGAUGGGGGGCUCUGGGAGUGUCUCCAACAAAGAAAAAGAAACUGAUCAAAUAUCUAACUUUUAAAACAUAUUGAGGGGAAAUUUAUACUUCUGCAAUAAAUUUUAGGAUAUCAAUAGAAACUAAGAAAAUAACAAAUAAAAAAACAAAAAAACAAAAAACAAGGUAAUUAUCAACCGCAGGAGAACAAAGGUUGUAUGAGAAAGGAAAUAAAAACAGAAUUCAGUACAUG